rnacentral:lncRNA from 1 species
AUCCUUGAUUCAUCAUUUAACAUAUAUAUUGAGUGCCUACUGUGUAUCAGAAUUCCAGGUUCUGGAACUGCAGAAAUGAAUAAGGCCAACAAAGUCCCCGUCCACAAAUGAACAUUCUGGUGAAGGAGACAGUGGCCAACGGCAACUUAUAGGCUAUAGGUAAUGUAUGCCGCGAUGCACAUCUGUGAACUCAGUGUAAACUGAUUCACAAUGGGGUAGACAGGCAGUCACAGAACAAGCCUUGCCAAUGAGGAACCAGAGUGGAGAUGCAACUCCGUGGGCAGAGGGGAGCCAUGUGGAAAUCUAGGGAAGACUCUGGGGACAGAGGGGCCAAUGAGGCUGAGACCCCGAGCUGGGCCUGAGCUUGUAUUUAAGGAACAGCAAGAAGGCCAGUCUGCCUGGAGGAGCAGGAUGGAAGGUAUCAGAAUCGGAAUGGAGAGAAAGAGGUUCCUGGCAGCCUCAGGACCUUGCUGGGCCCCCAGGAUGGACUGGAAAUGUCCAGGUACUGACCAGCCUUUGGGAACAGAUGAAAGAAGGGGUUGAUCUUCAGGCUUGAAUUCUGCCUCAACACAGCCCUUCCUCCUUUUGAGGUGCCCAACAAAGAGAGGUAAAGGCAAACAUGUGCUUUUGAUGACGACAAAGCCCAAUGUAGACCCUUGUAACCUAGGGUUGGCCCCUGUGGAGUGUGCCUCCUUCCUGGGCUGGAGGCAGGCCUAAGGCCCAGAGUCAAAACGGGCUACGUGGACAUUCCCUCCUAGCCCACACCAGAAUCUUUCAAGUAUGCAUCCCAGGAAAGGCCUGCACACUGGGGAGAAGCCAGAGCCUGAAGCCUUCCCAACCUGACCUGUAUUCUGCUACUGUGCCCUAGGCCACCUGGGGUAGGGGGAGGACUCAUGUGGGAGUCAUGGUGCACAUGUCCCCAGGUUUCU